UACGUAGGUGGCAAGCGUCAUCCGGAUUUAUUGGGUGUAAAGGGCGUGUAGGCGGGAAUGCAAGUCAGAUGUGAAAACUCAGGGCUCAACCCUGAGCCUGCAUUUGAAACUGUAUUUCUUGAGUGCUGGAGAGGCAAUCGGAAUUCCGUGUGUAGCGGUGAAAUGCGUAGAUAUACGGAGGAACACCAGUGGCGAAGGCGGAUUGCUGGACAGUAACUGACGCUGAGGCGCGAAAGCGUGGGGAGCAAACAGG
rnacentral:rRNA from 1 species